UGCAAGUCGAACGGUGAAGCGAGAGCUUGCUCUUGUGGAUCAGUGGCGAACGGGUGAGUAACACGUGAGUAACCUGCCCCAGACUCUGGGAUAAGCCUUGGAAACGAGGUCUAAUACCGGAUACGAGACGAGACCGCAUGGUCAUUGUCUGGAAAGAAUUUCGGUCUGGGAUGGACUCGCGGCCUAUCAGCUUGUUGGUGAGGUAAUGGCUCACCAAGGCGACGACGGGUAGCCGGCCUGAGAGGGCGACCGGCCACACUGGAACUGAGACACGGUCCAGACUCCUACGGGAGGCAGCAGUGGGGAAUAUUGCACAAUGGGCGCAAGCCUGAUGCAGCGACGCCGCGUGGGGGAUGAAGGCCUUCGGGUUGUAAACCCCUUUCAGCAGGGAAGAAGCGAAAGUGACGGUACCUGCAGAAGAAGCGCCGGCUAACUACGUGCCAGCAGCCGCGGUAAUACGUAGGGCGCAAGCGUUGUCCGGAAUUAUUGGGCGUAAAGAGCUCGUAGGCGGUCUGUCGCGUCUGCUGUGAAAUCCCGAGGCUCAACCUCGGGCCUGCAGUGGGUACGGGCAGACUAGAGUGUGGUAGGGGAGACUGGAAUUCCUGGUGUAGCGGUGGAAUGCGCAGAUAUCAGGAGGAACACCAAUGGCGAAGGCAGGUCUCUGGGCCACAACUGACGCUGAGGAGCGAAAGCAUGGGGAGCGAACAGGAUUAGAUACCCUGGUAGUCCAUGCCGUAAACGGUGGGCACUAGAUGUGGGGCUCUUUCCAUGAGUUCCGCGUCGCAGCUAACGCAUUAAGUGCCCCGCCUGGGGAGUACGGCCGCAAGGCUAAAACUCAAAGGAAUUGACGGGGGCCCGCACAAGCGGCGGAGCAUGCGGAUUAAUUCGAUGCAACGCGAAGAACCUUACCAAGGCUUGACAUAUACCCCUUUACCCCUAGAGAUAGGGGGGUCCUUCGGGGGGGUAUACAGGUGGUGCAUGGUU
rnacentral:rRNA from 1 species